rnacentral:rRNA from 1 species
UCUACGGGAGGCAGCAGUGGGGAAUAUUGCGCAAUGGGCGAAAGCCUGACGCAGCGACGCCGCGUGAGGGAUGAAGGAGUGCUUCGGCAUGUAAAGCCCUAUCGGCAGGGAAGAAGCCAGACGGUACCUGACUCAGCAGCCCCGGCUAACUACGUGCCAGCAGCCGCGGUAAUACGUAGGGGGCGAGCGUUAUCCGGAUUCACUGGGUGUAACGGGAGCGUAGACGGCCAAGCAAGCCAGGGGUGAAAGCCCGGGGCCCAACCCCGGGACUGCCCUUGGAACUGCAUGGCUGGAGUGCGGGAGGGGCAGGCGGAAUUCCUGGUGUAGCGGUGAAAUGCGUAGAUAUCAGGAGGAACACCGGCGGCGAAGGCGGCCUGCUGGACCGCGACUGACGUUGAGGCUCGAAAGCGUGGGGAGCGAACAGGAUUAGAUACCCCUGUAGUC